rnacentral:rRNA from 1 species
AUACGAAGGGGGCAAGCGUUGUUCGGAAUAACUGGGCGUAAAGCGCACGUAGGCGGAAUGUUAAGUUAGAGGUGAAAUCCCAGGGCUCAACCCUGGAACGGCCUUUAAUACUGGCAAUCUAGAGACCGAGAGAGGUGAGUGGAAUUCCGAGUGUAGAGGUGAAAUUCGUAGAUAUUCGGAGGAACACCAGUGGCGAAGGCGGCUCACUGGCUCGGUACUGACGCUGAGGUGCGAAAGCGUGGGGAGCAAACAGGAUUAGAGACCCGAGUAGUCC